rnacentral:rRNA from 1 species
UAUCCCGACGGCUGGCGGCAUCCUAACACAUGCAGUCGAACGAGACCUUCGGGUCUAGUGGCGCACGGGUGCGUAACGCGUGGGAAUCUGCCCUUGGGUACGGAAUAACUCGGAAAAAUCCGUGCUAAUACCGUAUAAUGACUUCGGUCCAAAGAUUUAUCGCCCAAGGAUGAGCCCGCGUAGGAUUAGCUAGUUGGUGGGGUAAAAGCCUACCAAGGCGACGAUCCUUAGCUGGUCUGAGAGGAUGAUCAGCCACACUGGGACUGAGACACGGCCCAGACUCCUACGGGAGGCAGCAGUGGGGAAUAUUGGACAAUGGGCGAAAGCCUGAUCCAGCAAUGCCGCGUGAGUGAUGAAGGCCCUAGAGUUGUAAAACUCUUUUACCCGGGAUGAUAAUGACAGUACCGGGAGAAUAAGCUCCGGCUAACUCCGUGCCAGCAGCCGCGGUAAUACGGAGGGAGCUAGCGUUGUUCGGAAUUACUGGGCGUAAAGCGCGCGUAGGCGGUUUUUUAAGUCAGAGGUGAAAGCCCGGGGCUCAACCCCGGAAUAGCCUUUGAAACUGGAAGACUUGAAUCUUGGAGAGGUCAGUGGAAUUCCGAGUGUAGAGGUGAAAUUCGUAGAUAUUCGGAAGAACACCAGUGGCGAAGGCGACUGACUGGACAAGUAUUGACGCUGAGGUGCGAAAGCGUGGCGAGCAAACAGGAUUAGAUACCCUGGUAGUCCACGCCAUACACGAUGAUAACUAGCUGUCCGGGUUCAUGGAACUUGGGUGGCGCAGCUAACGCAUUACGUUAUCCGCCUGGGG